AUUAUCCUGGAAUGUUCGAUAACUCCUGCCGUUUUGAACCUACAUUUACUUUAAACGGGAUUCCUACAUUGCCAAUUGGAUGUCAGGCCCCCAUUAGUCAGGGGAAGACAAAAGAAAGGUUGCGGUUACCCACCUAGCAUUGCUAGGAGUCAAAAGGCAGGAACCGGCAUUUCGGGGCAUCA
rnacentral:other from 1 species